rnacentral:rRNA from 1 species
GAUGAACGCUGGCGGUGUGCCUAAUACAUGCAAGUCGAGCGAAAAGACGAUAAGCUUGUUCCUCUGACGUUAGCGGCGGACGGAUGAGUAACAAGUACAUAACCACCUUAUCAGUCUGGGAUAACUUCGUAAAACCGCAGCUACUAACGGAUAAUACAUCCAACCGCAUAAUUCAAUAGUGCAACACAGCUUUGCUGUCUCUUAUAGAUGAUUCCGCGCCGCAUUAGUUAGUUGGUAAGGUACCGGCUUACCAAGGUGACGAUGCGUAGCUGACCUGAGAGGGUGAUCAGCCACACUGGAACUGAGACACGGUCCAGACUCCUACGGGAGGCAGCAGUAGGGAAUCUUCCGCAAAGGGCGAAAGCCUGACGGAGCAAUGCCGCGUGAGUGAAGAAGGUCUUCGGGUCGUAAAACUCUGUUAUUAGGGAAGAACAAAUGUAUAAUUAACCAUGCACGUCCUGACGGUACCUAAUCAGAAAGCCACGGCUAACUUCGUG